rnacentral:lncRNA from 1 species
AAAUUUAUCUCUGACAGAGGAAGAAUGCUUUUGAAAACAGUUCUUCCGUGAUUUGCUGAAGCUUAAUGUGACCUGGGAAGGAAAUGUCCCGUCUCUGGUAUGGGAAAAAAGGGAGAAGACAUCAGCCAGUUAACCAUAAAUACACUCUGGUAAAUCUUGAUCAAUUAAUGCAGUUUCUCUAUCUGCCAAUCUUGUGUUAGUGCCAUUAUGCAAAAGUAUCAUAUUUGAAUGGAUAAACAGAGUGAAAACUUCCAUGAUUGCAGGAAAGUUUAGCAUAUAUUUACGAAUUCCAAGUAUAUUUCAGAGGGGGGUGAGUAUGUCAUAGAAUUUUGCUUUGUGAAAACAUGGUGGUUUUUUUAUUCACUCC